CGUACUCCAUCCACGCACAAAAUAUUACGCGCAACAAUCCCUCAAUUUUUUUCACGAAAGUUUAAACUCUUCUCAAAGUUUAAACAGCUAGCGCCUUAUAUCCCUAAAACAAGUAAACCCAUUACUCAUGAUAAGGUAACUGACAUCCAGAUCACAACAAAAACCCUAUCAAUUGCAGGUUUGCCAACAAAUUUCAAUCUCAGAUCCCAAAUCUCUCCUAUGAACUGAAAUCACGGACUGAAUUUCACCCAAUUAUAUAUUAAGAGGAAGAAGGAAGAGGCGAAAUUCACGAACACUACUUCACAAAGGCGAAAUUCAAAGAAAAACAAGCAAAGAGGCAAAAUUUCAAACUUCGAAGGUGCGUUCUUCUGUUUUGGGAAUUCUGGAAAUCCUUCAAAAGCCACAAAAUCCAGUCGAGCUCCAAAAUUAAGGAUAUAAAUUUAGAGUGUAAAUUAUUCAAGAAAAGACACCAAAGAGUUGAAAUUCAAGAAAACCCAACAAAAAGGGAAAAUUUCGGAUCACUAGUUGAGCUUCAUAAGGUAUUGUAAAGAUGUAUGCUGACAGUGCAGAGGCAGAAGGUGCAGCAAGGAAAAAAGAAGGGGCUUUCUAUGUUUGGUCCGCCGAGGAGGUAACUAGACUAGUUGUUUGUAUGUGCUCCGUGUCACUGCUAGUACUCAUCUAUGUGAAUAGGAAAAAAGCUUGCUGAUAGAAAGCCCUUUGGGGUCUAUGAGGAGAGUAGAAAAUCUGCGGUGCGACUCUGAUCUAGCAAUUUUAUAGGACUUUAUCAACUUCAACUCUACCGCCAAAAAGAACCUUUAAAAAGGCUUUGACAAUUCAAUGUGGCUGAGGAUUUUUUCCAGGGUGAGGGUGGGGCGUGGCCGCGUGGGGAAGGGAAGAGUGAGCUGGUUGGAUUUACCCAUCCUUUCUCUUGUCAUAACAAAGGUUAGGGAUCAAGGAAAUAGAAGGAAAAAUAGGUAGCUUAAACAGGAACUCUGAAUUUCAUAUGUAUUGUAUGGCAUAAAUCUACAUGGGAUACGUGGUGUAGGUCAGUAGAUGAAGAUUACAAGAAGGUCGGGGGAUCUGAAUGAAGGAGCAUGAUAUUUGAUGAAGUUUCAUAUUAAGCGUUUUCCUAUUCCAUUAAAAUGUUGCCUAUGUUUAAAUGCUUUUGUCUUGGAGUGUCCCUCUAUGCGUUCACUGCAAAAUAUUAGUUUUAUCUCAUUAUCUUUCUCUUAUUUAUCUUUCAUUUACCCUUAAUUAGAAGCAAUUCCACAUCGUAAGAAUUGAAGUACUUUCAGUAAUAUCAGAUGUGUUCAUUUAGUCAUCUCACUCGCAGAAGGGAUGGAGGGGGUACAUUUUGACAGUCCUACUCAUAAUGUGAAGAGACAACUGAUAAACUGGUUCAGCUCCCAUUGUAUGUGGAUCUUAAGAUUGGCAUGUACACAACUAAACCUUUUCCUUCUAAAGGAUUUCCGCACUGCCCACCUCCUGUUAGAGCAAGAAUAUGGAGGCAUAACUUCGACAGACCCUGAUUGGGGAACAUGAUCCGGAAGUCUAAACUGUUAUGGCGCCUGUGGCAAGUUUUAGUUUUGCUCCUUGAACUCCUAACUUUGUGGUUAUAGCUGUUUAUUGUUCCUAUUUUUCUGAAACUUCUCCCUUCUGUCCUCUCUUUAUGUAUUCUAUAGGGUGAGUUGGGAUAGGGUGUAGGUGGCUGGAUGGUGGUGGAUGUCUAUAAUCAUUAGUACCUAUUAUUGCAGAAUUUUAGUGGUCAACUGUGAAAUGUUGAGUUGGUGAUCAUAUUAAUUCCUACUGAUACCAUUAUGGUGGAAUAGCCUUCAUGUCAUUGAGUGGGAAGAAAUUGUCAUGUAGUUUGAACCCCCUCCUACCCAGCACAGAUGACAGAACUUUCCAGCACUUAAAAGACUUAAGACAAGUCUUUCCUAGCAUGGAUACCAGCAUGAAUAAAAUUGGAGAUUAAAGAUCUAGAGCUGAGCUCAUGAACUUAGCAGCUUUGAUAGCAAUCAGAGUUGCAAACUUUGAUCAUAACCAACAAAAUUACGCACGUCCAGCUUUCCCACUUUUAAUUAUCAGCAAAAUCUAUGUAACUAAACCGUAGUGGAGGACUACAUUGAGGCAAUGGUAACUAACCUUUAGAUCAACAGGUUUUCGAAUCUAUCAAUGCAAGUGUUGGUCUAUAGACUAUAGUUUUGCAACUCACAAGAACACUAAUUACUGUAGUGCUCACCACGACACCUCACAAAACAUGGACAAAUCUGGUCCAACUAUGUCAAACCUUAAGUGUUCCCGGCAAUACCGUGAUCCUGUCAUGUAACAUUGUCAUGUACAGAGCACCUGACCUUUUAUAUAUGAGAAGGAUCAUCAUGUUCCCCAAAUUAAAACAUAAUAGACUAACUGGUUAGAUCAGGUAUACCUUCAUUCCUUGAUUUUCUUGAUAUGGCUUAUUGUGUUAUGUAAACUUCUUAGACUCCAAAAGAUUUGGCCUUAAGGCUACUGGGUAAAAGGGUAGUAGCUAGCUUCAAACCACAUCCAUAACAAAUAUUUGUUAGUUCAGUUUGAUUAAGUACAUUAAUUUUCGGUUUGUAAUUUUAUCUCUUUUAUAUGGUCAUCUUCAUCCCACAUUAUUCUUAUUAUAGCAAUAAUGCAAGGUACUGUAAUUUUGUCUCUUUUUUUGUGUUGUUGAUGGGUACGUUUACUAACUAUUACAAUGUUUGAAUUUUUAGGUGAAUGAUGAACCAACUGGAGGAGAUCAAACGUAGACGUCUCACUAUAUAUACAUACUAUCGGCCAGAUUUAGCUAGCUAUAUGAUUUAUAUGUACUUAUUAGAAGUAUUUGUGGUACUAAAACAAAUAUUUAUUAGUUAGGUUUGAUUAAGUAUAUUAAUUUUCGUUAAUUAGGAUCUUUCAUGUAUACUCUUAAUUUAAUUAUUUUGGAAAUUAUAUUAUAUAUAUGACAAUUAUUUUUGGCA